CUCAGUUAGCGGAGCACUAGAGUGGGUGACGAGUCGCUUCUCCGCGCAGUCUCGUAGUCUUGUGUACAACGCAUGAACUCUCUUUCUCAAGACUGUACGCAUCUGUGUUCGAGGAAAUUUUAAUCACGAGGACUGCCGUGCCGAUGGAAAAGUUUGUGUAGCAACAACACUGAAAGUUUGUGUCGGAGUGAAAUGGUGAGUGGCGCCGCCGAGCCCGCCAGGCUGGUGUGUGUGGCGUGACCUUUGGGAAGCAGCGGCCCGGGCUGCUCACUGGUGCGGCGGAACUGUGCUGCAGGCAUGAUCAGGGUAGAGCCCAGCUGAGGCAGGUUGUGCGCCCCGUGCCCACUCACUCUUACCUUGCCAUCCGCGCCUGCUUGCACACCCACCCACCCACCCACACACACACACACACACACACACACACACACACACACACACACACACACACACACACACACACACACACACACACACACACACUGGCAGCCAUGGAAAGCAAGCUAGAGGACUCGUGGGAAGAUGGCGAGGCCGUGCAUCCACCGCCGUUGGUGGUGGUGCUGGGAGCGGAUGAAGGGCCUUACUGGUGUCAGGGAACGCCGCCCCAGGUGAACGUCACCGUAUGGGGUACUCCCAGCGGACCCUCCACGGCCUCCUGCACCAACUCUCGUUCCCCGUCACUCAAUUCCUUCUGCUCUGACGUGUCUUGGGGUGACGGCGGCAACGACCUUGCCUCGCUUUUCAAGCCUCGCGUGAACCGGUCUCGUCACGCUUCCACCGAGCUGCUGUCAUGCAACCGAGGCUUGAUGGCGGCGGCCCCACAGCGGCUGUGUGCCUCCCACGACCAUCUUGACACCUGCAAGGGGAAAGGGCGGCAUCGCUCCCGCCAAGACAAGGCCGAGAUGGGCUCGAGGGAGCGGUCGUCCUCCAAUGUGGAGAAUGGCCAUCGGGACACCACUCCAGACUCCAGGGUCAAAAGAUUUUUGUCUAAGAUGCGGUCUUACUCCCACCAUGACCUGCUGCACGGGCGUGGGCGCAGUGGUUCCUGCACCGACGCGGUGAAGGCAGAGGAAUCGCUCGUGCCGGAGCCUGAAGACGUGCCUGAAGUGCCUGCCACUGCCAUCAACGCCCGCCUGGUGGGACGCUUCCGCAAAAAUGGCCCUGACUUGAAGAAGAGACGGUGGAGCGCCUGGGAGGACCGGAUGCUGCGGCUGUGGGGAUCCAAGACUCACGGGGAUGAAGGGCAUGUGGAAUCCAACACUGAUCCAGAGCCCGCCGACCCUCUCCCCGCACCGCCCCCCACCCCCGCCACCCUCGAUGUCCGAACCCCUGCCCAGGCACAGCCAGACAAGCGCCGCCUGGCCCGCAUGCGCUCCAACUCUGAGUCUGCCAUCAUCACACACGAGAAGAAGCGAAAGAGAGGAUUUCAUCCGAAAGAUUCACGUCUGCUGGACAUCCUGCUCGACUUUCACCACCGCAAAAAGCGCGGCAGUCUGCCAUCGCUCGUGGCUAACAAGCACCACGCCCACAGUGCCUCGCCCCUGCAGAAGGAAGAUCCGCCUAUGAUAAGGAAUGGCCGUGCCCUUUCAUGUCAUAAUCUCACGGAUUUCGCUGUGGAGGAUUACUUCGGGGAGAACUCUGGGUGUGUCUCUGAGGAUGAGUUGGAUGGUGACCGGUCUCGCCACGCCCUGCACCCACUGGACGCCCACGGACACUCCCGCCACAGCCGCUCGCGUUUCUCCAUAGACAACAUUUUGAACGUCCUGAGGGGGCGACGGCUGUCACACGACGUGGGGGCCGCAGGGCGUCACGUGACAGAUGCAGUGGUGCCUUGGCUGCGGGGCAAGAGCCGCAGCGUGGACCAUUCCAUUCACAACCCCUUCGAUCUCGAUGUGUUGCGGAAGAAGAUCGGGGAGCGGACUGCCUCGGAGCCGUCCAGAGACACCCGCUCGCCCUCCCCAGAGCCGGUGGAGGGCAGCAAGGAGAACAUCGCGCCGCCUGAAAAGAAGAUGGUAGCCAAGACCCAGCCGCCUGUACCCACCAUGACCUACACGGUAACUGCCAGUGACACCCUGACCAGCAUUGCAGCAAGGUUUGACACCACGCCUUCAGAACUCACGAAGUUGAACAAACUUUUGACACGCUUUGUGUACCCCGGCCAAGUGAUUGCUGUGCCAGACAAGGCAACAGUGACCUUGGAUGACAAGCCUGGCAUCCAAGACCCACCGGAUGAUACCGGUGGAGGCCAUGAUUCCCUGACACACAUCCGGCCCCCAAGCCCCAACCACCGUGUGGACCUGAGGAGCCCUGCCUCACCCCACACCUGUCCUCGUACACCUGCCAAUUCUAUGGAAACAGAGAAAUCACUUGAUAAAGAAUGUCUGGAAAAGUUCCUGAAGAUUAGUGUGCGGCACAUUACAGAUGGCCAGGGUGUGGUGGCUGGAGUUCUUCUAGUCACUCCCAAUGCUGUUAUGUUUGACCCCAAUGUGUCUGAUCCACUGGUGAUAGAACAUGGUCCCGAGAGUUAUGGAGUCAUUGCGCCCAUGGAGUUCGUGGUGAACGCAGCUCUGUACUAUGACAUUGCUCACAUGCGAGUCAAGGACACUAACCUCCCUAAGCCUGAAAUUCCCAAGCCAGAAAUCUACUGGGGGCCUGCAGGACAGGUGGAGAGAAUGGGGAGCCAAGAAUCUCCAGGAAAGGAUGCAUCUCUUAGUAAAGACACCACUUUUCCUGAGCUUGCUGCCUCCCAGGAUGAUAAUGACUCCUCUUGCUCCUGUGGUGGAGAUACCAGGGAGACUUCUGCCUUCCCCAAGGCCUUUGAGCAAGAAUUGCUCUCCCCCAUUGGGUCAGAUACAUCCCCAGCCAAUGGAGAGGGCCAGCCUCUGUCUGGCCAGCCAUCACCUGCCCAGCAGCCACCAGUGGUGGGGGACCUCACUCCCAUUGCAGAGGCCACCCAAGCCUCAGGCCCAAUCCUUGCUCAAACAGUGUGUGAUAACAAAGCUGCUCAGGACCUUGCUCAAAGUGAUACUCCUGCACCCAAUAUUUCUGAUGACCCACUUACCAAUGAAAAAAAGAGAACAACUUCAGUGACAUUUGAUCUAUCAGGGGAGGGAGAAGAAGCUUCACCAGAUACUACAAGUGAAAACAACCUGCAAGAAACACGUAAACAAAAGUGGGUGUCACAAAGCCGGGUGUGGCGUACAGUAUCAGGUACCAGUCCUCCCACCGCCCCCAUGGCUUCCGCCACACCCAGGCCUCUCAGUGCUCUUCGGUCAGGCCAGUCAGAGGUCCUGAAGCGGCUGUCCUACCCAUUGUCCUGGAUGGAAAGCUUUAGUACAGAGAAAGAAAAUAUGCCACAUCCAGCUGGUGUACAGCCCUCUUCUGCUCCCCCUGUAGGUCCUCACCCUCCUACUGAGGGGCCAGAGGGAGCCAAGCCAGGGGUCUUCUCCAAUGUGUUCAGUAUGUCCAACGUUUCCAGUAUGUUGUCCAGUUCGCCCAAAUAUCUGGUUGACUUCAGUAGUGGGCUUUUCGCUCGCUCCCCCUCUGACUCCUCAAGCUCAGUGCGAGAUGUAACAGAGCUGGGCACCCCCCCGGGAUCCCUCGAGGGGUACCGUGUUGCCCAAUCUGUAUUUUACCGCAAACAGAGCAGCUUGGGUAAUGACAAGGAGGAAAGAAAAGGCAUACCCAUAUUUCACCCAGGACGACCCUCAAUGGACUUGAUGCGAAGACCCACCAACCAGCAGCCUCUCUUGCCACAAACAGCCCCAAGUUCCAACAUCACUAACAACAGCAGUCAACCACCAGUUUCCAGUGCUGCCCUCAGCCAGCUACAGCCACAGCAGCAGCAACAGCAGCAGCAGCAACAACAACAACAACAACAGCAGCAGCAGCAGGCUCAGAAGAGAGCCCAAUAUAAAGAGGGACCAAAGUUUGGUCUGAAGAGCAUGGUCAGUAUGGACGACAUGCCAGAGCUCUUUGCCUCCUUUGACAUUCUAGGUCCCCACUUCUCAUCCCUACGUGAUCUGGGUUUAGGCAUCAAGGAGGACUCAUUGAAAGAACUGAUUCCAAAGCCUGCCACCUCCUGUGAGGAUCCCCCACUUUACCUCUGCCUCAGGAUGGGGAAACCAGCCAACAGAAUAAUACCCAAAUCUACUCCAGUCAUGUCUUAUGGCAAGAAGAGGAUGAGGCCUGAAUACUGGUUUAGCAUCCCCAAAAAUAGAAUGUGAGGAACCAAUGAGAUACCAACCAUGACAGGCCAUGAAUAUACACAGGAGUGACUGGGGAUUGAGCCCCUGACAGCAAAGUCGGAUGAGUUGUACAAUUUCUUCCAACUGUGGGCGCAUGAUAUAUACGGGGAGCUCAAUGAAGAGGAGGUUGCAUCCCGAGGCUUCAUCCUAGUGGAGGAGGAGACAGACCUGUGGACAGAACAGGAUCGUGAGAGA
rnacentral:misc_RNA from 1 species